GGCCUCAAAUCAGGUAGGACUACCCGCUGACUUAAGCAUUA
rnacentral:rRNA from 1 species